rnacentral:rRNA from 1 species
GACGAACGCUGGCGGCGUGCUUAACACAUGCAAGUCGAGCGAAGCGGCGGACGGGUGAGUACCACGUGAGUAACCUGCCUUAGACAUUGGGAUAGCCUCGGGAAACCGGGAAUAAUACCAAAUGGUCUAAGAUGGACUCGCGUCCCAUUAGCUGGUUGGUGAGGUAACGGCCCACCAAGGCGACGAUGGGUAGCCGGCAACUGAGGGAGGGCGGCGACUGUGAAGCUGGGAAACGGUCCGGACUCUACGGAAGGCAGCAGAGGGGAAUGUUGCACUGUGGAGGGAACUCUGAUGCAGCGAGGGUGGUUGAGCGAAGACGGCUUUGGAGUAGGAAAGUUCUUUUAUAUCUGAACCGGUACCAGAAGAAAAAGCCCCGGCUAACUACGUGCCAGCAGCCGCGGUAAUUC